GACGAACGCUGGCGGCGCGCCUAACACAUGCAAGUCGAGCGAAGCGGCGAACGGGUGAGUAACGCGUGAGGAACCUGCCUCUCACAACGGGAUAGACUCGGGAAACCGGGAUUAAUACCGUAUGGUGAGAGAUUGCCUCGCGUUUGAUGAGUUAGUUGGUGGGGUAACGGCCUACCAAGACGACGAUAAGUAACCGGCCUUAUAGCUUGAACGGUCCCCUUUGAACUGAGACACGGUUCAAUCUCCUACGCGAGGCAGCAGUGGGGAAUCUUGCACAAUGGGGUGAACCCUGAUGCAGCUACGCCGCGUGAGCUAUGAAGGUUUUCGAAUCGUAAAGCUCUGUCCUAUGGGAAGCGGUACCAUAGGAGGAAGCCCCGGCUAACUACGUGCCAGCAGCCGCGGUAAUAC
rnacentral:rRNA from 1 species